rnacentral:rRNA from 1 species
GAUGAACGCUGGCGGCGUGCCUAAUACAUGCAAGUCGAGCGAACGGACGAGAAGCUUGCUUCUCUGAUGUUAGCGGCGGACGGGUGAGUAACACGUGGAUAACCUACCUAUAAGACUGGGAUAACUUCGGGAAACCGGAGCUAAUACCGGAUAAUAUUUUGAACCGCAUGGUUCAAAAGUGAAAGACGGUCUUGCUGUCACUUAUAGAUGGAUCCGCGCUGCAUUAGCUAGUUGGUAAGGUAACGGCUUACCAAGGCAACGAUGCAUAGCCGACCUGAGAGGGUGACGGGCACCACUGGAACUGAAACACGGUCCGGCCUCCUACGGGAGCCAGAGGAAGGGAACUUCCGGCAAUGGGCGAAGCCCGGACGGAGCAAGGCCGCGUGAGGGUGGAAGGCCUCGGGUCGUUAAAACCUGUUUAUUAGGGAGAAAAAAUGGGGUAAUAAACGUGGACCUUCUGGCGGUUCCUAAACAGGAAACCACCGCUUAAUUAGUGC